UAUAAUCAAUAUUACUAGAACACACCCGCGAAAUCGCGGGCAUUCAGAGCGGAGUUAAAAGUAUGUAAAGUGUUGUUAGAAGUUUUAUACCUCCUCCUUCAUUUUCCAAAAUUCCCAAUUUUUGGUUUUCUAUCAAUUUCAAUAUGAACAUACAUUUAGUAUGUUAUGAACAUUUAAGUAAGGAGCCUGUAGUUCAGUGGUUGUCGUUUGUUUGUGUGUUACAUAUUUGUUUUUCGUUCCUUUUUUGUACAUAAAUAAGGCCGCUAGUUUUCUCGUUUGAAUUUUUUUACAUCGUCAUUUCGGGGCCUUUUAAAGCUGAGUAUGCGGUAUGGGCUUUGCUCGUUGUUGAAGGCCGUACGGUGACCUAUAGUCGUAAAUUUCUGUGUCAUUUUGGUCUCGUGUGGAGAGUUGUCUCAACAUGGCAAUCAUACCACAUCUUUUUUUUUUUGUAAUCAAUGAAUUUUGUAAAAUAUUUAAUGAAUGGAGAAUUUCAGAAAAGGUAUCAAAAGUUCACAUGAAUAAUUUUAGCGCUUAUCUGUAUAUUACUAUAUAAAUAAAGUGUAUUUACUUUCAAUUCUUAGUUUAGU
rnacentral:lncRNA from 1 species